rnacentral:tRNA from 1 species
GCCGGAAUGGUGGAAUAGGUAGACACAAGGGACUUAAAAUCCCUCGGAUGAAUAAUCCGUGCCAGUUCAAUUCUGGUUUCCGGCA